GCAAAGCUGGAGAUGCAGCUCCAGGAGCUGCAGCAGAAAAGCCUGAAGGGAGCCUCUGCCUUUCCAGCGCCUCCGGAGCAGCAGCUGGAGGAGGAGGGCUGGGCGGAGGUCAGGAAGAAGCUCCGGGAAUUCACACUCAACACCCAGGUAAAGCUCUGGAACAGCCCAUUGGAGGCCAAGCUUAUCUCUCACCCACAGGCAGAGAUGUGCUGCCUCAGCUCCUGCCCUGGGGCUGCUCCAGGCUGGAGGGGGAAACUUCCAUGGAAUUAUUCCCACACAAUGUCCUGAGUGGGAAGGGACCCCCAGGGAUCAUCCAGAGCAGCUCCUGGCCCUGCACAGACACCCCAGCAAUCCCACCCUGUCCCUGAGAGCAUUGUCCAAGCACUCCUGGAGCUCUGGCAGCCCCGGGGCUGUGCUCAUUCCCUGGGGAUCACUCUCCAUGGAGCCUUGCUGUGGCUU
rnacentral:lncRNA from 1 species